GAUGAAUAACGUAGCGAAAUGCGAUAAGUAGUGUGAAUUGCAGAAUUCAGUGAAUCAUCGAAUCUUUGAACGCACAUUGCGCCCCUUGGUAUCCCGAGGGGCAUGCCUGUUCGAGCGCCAUUUCACCACUCAAGCCUGGCUUGGUGUUGGGCGACGUCCUCUUUGGGGACGCGCCUCGAAACGCUCGGCGGCGUGGCACCGGCUUUAAGCGUAGCAGAAUCUUUCGCUUUGGAAGUCGGGGCCCCGUCUGCCGGAAGACCUGCUCGCAAGGUUGACCUCGGAUCAGGCAGGGAUACCCGCUGAACUUAAGCAUAUCAAUAAGCGGAGGA
rnacentral:misc_RNA from 1 species